rnacentral:rRNA from 2 species
UGGGGAAUUUUGGACAAUGGGCGCAAGCCUGAUCCAGCCAUUCCGCGUGCAGGAUGAAGGCCCUCGGGUUGUAAACUGCUUUUGUACGGAACGAAACGGUGCUCUCUAAUACAGGGCGCUAAUGACGGUACCGUAAGAAUAAGCACCGGCUAACUACGUGCCAGCAGCCGCGGUAAUACGUAGGGUGCAAGCGUUAAUCGGAAUUACUGGGCGUAAAGCGUGCGCAGGCGGUUUUGUAAGACAGGUGUGAAAUCCCCGGGCUUAACCUGGGAACUGCACUUGUGACUGCAAAGCUGGAGUGCGGCAGAGGGGGAUGGAAUUCCGCGUGUAGCAGUGAAAUGCGUAGAUAUGCGGAGGAACACCGAUGGCGAAGGCAAUCCCCUGGGCCUGCACUGACGCUCAUGCACGAAAGCGUGGGGAGCAAACAGG